CCUACGGGCGGCAGCAGUGGGGAAUAUUGCACAAUGGGGGAAACCCUGAUGCAGCGACGCCGCGUGAGUGAAGAAGUAUUUCGGUAUGUAAAGCUCUAUCAGCAGGAACGAGACAAGACGGUACCUGACUAAGAAGCCCCGGCUAACUACGUGCCAGCAGCCGCGGUAAUACGUAGGGGGCAAGCGUUAUCCGGAAUCACUGGGUGUAAGGGGAGCGUAGACGGCUGAGCAAGCCUGAAGUGAAAGGCGGGGGCCCAACCCCCGGACUGCUUUGGGAACUGUACGGCUGGAGUGCAGGAGAGGUAAGUGGAAUUCCUAGUGUAGCGGUGAAAUGCGUAGAUAUUAGGAGGAACACCAGUGGCGAAGGCGGCUUACUGGACUGUAACUGACGUUGAGGCUCGAAAGCGUGGGGAGCAAACAGGAUUAGAUACCCUAGUAGUC
rnacentral:rRNA from 1 species